rnacentral:rRNA from 1 species
UACGUAGGGUGCAAGCGUUAAUCGGAAUUACUGGGCGUAAAGCGUGCGCAGGCGGUUUUGUAAGUAUGCUGUGAAAUCCCCGGGCUCAACCUGGGAAUUGCAUUGGAGACUGCAAGGCUAGAAUCUGGCAGAGGGGGGUAGAAUUCCACGUGUAGCAGUGAAAUGCGUAGAGAUGUGGAGGAACACCGAUGGCGAAGGCAGCCCCCUGGGUCAAGAUUGACGCUCAUGCACGAAAGCGUGGGGAGCAAACAGG